UACGGGGGGGCAAGCGUUGUUCGGAAUUACUGGGCGUAAAGGGCGCGUAGGCGGCCUUCUAAGUCGGACGUGAAAUCCCUCGGCUUAACCGAGGAACUGCGUCCGAGACUGAAAGGCUUGAAUCCGGGAGAGGGAUGUGGAAUUCCAGGUGUAGCGGUGAAAUGCGUAGAUAUCUGGAGGAAUACCGGUGGCGAAGGCGGCAUCCUGGACCGACAUUGACGCUGAUGAGCGAAAAGCUAGGGGAGCAAACGGGG
rnacentral:rRNA from 1 species